CAUCCUUGAGCUGUUCCCACGUCUCCUGCACAAGGAAGUGGUAGGGCUGGUGCUUUAGGAACUGGCUAUGGAGGUGGUCCUGUAAGCCAACUAUAUGCUCUUCACUGUCCAAGGUGACCUGGUGUAGGUGGAGACCUGCCAAUCCCUCUAUUCAGCAGCCUCCUCUGCUCAGGUCAACUGGGUCAAGAGCUCUGGCCUGACGCUGGUUGCCCAAUGGCAGGUGAGCUUGUUCCCAUCUGCGUUCCAAAGCAUCUAAUGGGGUGUGGUCUUGCUGCUCUAUUUGGGGGUCUACUUGUGCCCCAGUCACCCCUGCCCACCAGAGAACUGGCAUCAGCUAGAAGUCAGGGUGUCUGACUGGCUGCAGGCCUGCUGCUGUGUCUCUCUCUUCAUGGGAAUGUGCUGGUCAUCAACCAGCUUGUCCUGUCCAUGCUUUGGCACUGUUUCAACACCUUGGCCAGACCCCCAGUGAAAGUUGCUGGAGAUCAUCUGGCUGGGACAGUGCUGGGUAUCUGCAGGUGUCCUAAGCUUCUCCUUGUGGGAGGGUGGGCAGACCCUGGUCUGAUUCCACAACCAGGCACACACCUUCCAUCUUCAGACCCUGCAGAGGCUUGUGUACAGUGCUGGUAACCAUGUGAUGUGGUACCUUAUCAACCGCUGUUUCCUCCGCAGCC